rnacentral:rRNA from 1 species
GCGAAACUGCGAACGGCUCAAUACAACAGAUAUAAUCUACGUGCUAUGACGUUUUACACGGAUAACUGCGGUAAUACUGGAGCCAAUACGUGCUAAAAGCCGAAUUCAACGAUGAGUUCGGUGCACUUAUCGGAGCAAAACCUUUCCUGGUUUUAUGCUAACUCUGGAUAACCUUGCUUAUCGCACGACCUUGUGUCGGCGAAGUUGCACUCGAGUAUCUGCCUUAUCAACUAUCGUCGGUAGUGUAUUGGACUACCGAGGUGUUGACGGGUAACGGAGAAUCAGGGUUCGACUCCGGAGAGGGAGCCUUAGAAACGGCUACCAUGUCUAAGGACAGCAGCAGGCGCGCAACUUAUCCACUGUUCAUUGAACGAGAUAGUGACGAGAAAUAACAAGCUCGUUCUCUUCGAGGUCGAGCAUUGGAAUGGACGGAACGUAAACAAUUCCGUGAGUAUCAACGAGAGGGCAAGUCUGGUGCCAGCAGCCGCGGUAAUUCCAGCUCUCAAGGUGUAUAUCGUCAUUGCUGCGGUUAAAAAGCUCGUAGUUGGAUCUGAGUCAUUGAACCUGGUGCACCUAGCGUGUAACUGGGAUUCUGGACUAAACAGUCGGUUUUCCGUGCGUUGCCUUCAUCGGUAGCGUACGGUGGCUGGCAUGUUUACCUUGAAUAAAUUAGAGUGCUCAAGACGGGCGUUUUGCUUGAAUAUUCGUGCAUGGAAUAAUAGAACAGGACCUCGGUUCAUUCUGUUGGUUUUAGAACUUGAGGUAAUGGUUAAGAGAGACUGACGGGGGCAUCCGUAUCGCUGCGUGAGAGGUGAAAUUCUUGGACCGCAGCGGGACGCUCAACUGCGAAAGCAUUUGCCAAGAAUGUCUUCAUUAAUCAAGAACGAAAGUCAGAGGAUCGAAGGCGAUUAGAUACCGCCCUAGUUCUGACCGUAAACGAUGCCAACUAUCAAUCCGCCAGUGGCUUCGAGUCAUUGGCGGGCGGAUCGACGGAAACGAAAGUGUUUCGGUUCCGGGGGAAGUAUGGUUGCAAAGCUGAAACUUAAAGGAAUUGACGGAAGGGCACCACCAGGAGUGGAGCUUGCGGCUUAAUUUGACUCAACACGGGAAACCUCACCCGGCCAGUACAUCAUAAGGAUUGACAGAUUGAUAGCUCUUUCAUGAUUUGAUGAAUGGUGGUGCAUGGCCGUUCUUAGUUCGUGGCGUGAGUCGUCUGCUUAAUUGCGAUAACGAGCGAGACUCCGUCUGCUAAAUACCUGCUGGAUUAUUUGUCCACGCGGGUUCUUAGCUGGAUUCGAGACUCCCAGUCUCAAGAAAUGGAGCAAUAACACGUGUGUGAUGCCCUUAGAUGUUCGGGGCCGCACGCGUGCUACAAUGAUGGUAACAGCGUGAUUGUCCUCGCCCGAGAGGGCUUGGCAAACAGUUGAGAUAUUAUUACGGCUGGAAUUGAGUGUUGAAAUUUUCGCUCAUGAACGAGGAAUUCCAAGUAAAUGCGAGUCAUCAACUUGCAUUGAUUACGUCCCGUGCCCUUUGUACACACCGCCCGUCGCUACCCGGGACUGAUUCGUUUCGAGAAAUUCACGGACCAGUUGUAGUGGGGGGCAACCUCCGAUUGCGACAGGGAAAGUGACUUAAUCGCGAUGGUUUGAACCGGGUAAAAGUCGUAA